UACGUAGGGGGCAAGCGUUGUCCGGAUUUAUUGGGCGUAAAGAGCGUGUAGGCGGCUAGGUAGGUCCGUUGUGAAAACUCGAGGCUCAACCUCGAGACGCCGGUGGAAACCAUCUAGCUAGAGUCCGGAAGAGGAGAGUGGAAUUCCUGGUGUAGCGGUGAAAUGCGCAGAUAUCAGGAAGAACACCCGUGGCGAAGGCGGCUCUCUGGGACGGUACUGACGCUGAGACGCGAAAGCGUGGGGAGCGAACAGG
rnacentral:rRNA from 1 species